UUGCCUCGUGGACGCGGUAUUGGAUCAAACUUUGUGGUUCCACUCUCAUAUUCUACGGAUCCAAAGCCCUGCGAGCCACAGAACGGAAACAUUACAAGUCUUCGCCGUGUAAGAAAGUGUGUGUUGUGGGCUGGAUGGUGGUGCUGCCGGAUGAUCCAGCUCAACCCAACAUCUUUCAGCUCAACCAUCCUGACAAAGGGAAUGUUUACAAGUUUCAGACAAGCGAUCGGUUCACUGCGAUCAUGUGGCACAGACACCUGGAGGAGGCGAGUCGGAGAAGAAGACCUCAGGUAUCAACAGGCACUGGUUCA